GAUGAACGCUGGCGGCGUGCCUAAUACAUGCAAGUCGAGCGAACGGACGAGAAGCUUGCUUCUCUGAUGUUAGCGGCGGACGGGUGAGUAACACGUGGAUAACCUACCUAUAAGACUGGGAUAACUUCGGGAAACCGUAGCUAAUACCGGAUAAUAUUUUGAACCGCAUGGUUCAAAAGUGAAAGACGGUCUUACUGUCACUUAUAGAUGGAUCCGCGCUGCAUUAGCUAGUUGGUAAGGUAACGGCUUACCAAGGCAACGAUGCAUAGCCGACCUGAGGGGGUGAUCGGCCACACUGGAACUGAGACACGGUCCAGACUCCUACGGGAGGCAGCAGUAGGGAAUCUUCCGCAAUGGGCGAAAGCCUGACGGAGCAACGCCGCGUGAGUGAUGAAGGUCUUCGGAUCGUAAAACUCUGUUAUUAGGGAAGAACAUAUGUGUAAGUAACUGUGCACAUCUUGACGGUACCUAAUCAGAAAGCCACGGCUAACUACGUG
rnacentral:rRNA from 1 species